AUACGUAGGGGGCGAGCGUUGUCCGGAAUGAUUGGGCGUAAAGGGCGCGUAGGCGGCCCGGUAAGUCUGGAGUGAAAGUCCUGUUUUUAAGAUGGGAAUUGCUUUGGAUACUGUCGGGCUUGAGUGCAGGAGAGGUAAGUGGAAUUCCCAGUGUAGCGGUGAAAUGCGUAGAGAUUGGGAGGAACACCAGUGGCGAAGGCGACCUACUGGACUGUAACUGACGCUGAGGCGCGAAAGUGUGGGGAGCAAAUAGGAUUAGAUACCCUGGUAGUCCACACUGUAAACGAUGAAUGCUAGGUGUAGGGGGUAUCGACCCCUUCUGUGCCGCAGUCAACACAAUAAGCAUUCCGCCUGGGGAGUACGGCCGCAAGGUUGAAACUCAAAUGAAUUGACGGGG
rnacentral:rRNA from 1 species